CGAAAUGCGGUAAGUAAUGUGAAUUGCAGAAUUCAGUGAAUCAUCGAAUCUUUGAACGCACAUUGCGCCCGCCAGCACUCUGGCGGGCAUGCCUGUUCGAGCGUCAUUUCAACCCUCAGAACCCCUUGCGGGAUCUGGCGUUGGGGAUUGGCAUCCAGCCAGCCCCGAAAUCUAGUGGCGGUCCCUCCGCGACCUCCCCUGUGCAGUAGCGAUACCUCGCAGCGGGACAGCGGUCUGACCACGCCGUAAAACCCCCAACUUCUCAAGGUUGACCUCGAAUCAGGUAGGAAUACCCGCUGAACUUAAGC
rnacentral:misc_RNA from 1 species